ACACAUGCAAGUCGAGGGGAAACGACAUCGAAAGCUUGCUUUUGAUGGGCGUCGACCGGCGCACGGGUGAGUAACGCGUAUCCAACCUGCCCACCACUUGGGGAUAACCUUGCGAAAGUAAGACUAAUACCCAAUGACGUCUCUAGAAGACAUCUGAAAGAGAUUAAAGAUUUAUCGGUGAUGGAUGGGGAUGCGUCUGAUUAGCUUGUUGGCGGGGUAACGGCCCACCAAGGCAACGAUCAGUAGGGGUUCUGAGAGGAAGGUCCCCCACAUUGGAACUGAGACACGGUCCAAACUCCUACGGGAGGCAGCAGUGAGGAAUAUUGGUCAAUGGACGAGAGUCUGAACCAGCCAAGUAGCGUGCAGGAUGACGGCCCUAUGGGUUGUAAACUGCUUUUAUAAGGGAAUAAAGUGAGUCUCGUGAGACUUUUUGCAUGUACCUUAUGAAUAAGGACCGGCUAAUUCCGUGCCAGCAGCCGCGGUAAUACGGAAGGUCCGGGCGUUAUCCGGAUUUAUUGGGUUUAAAGGGAGCGUAGGCCGGAGAUUAAGCGUGUUGUGAAAUGUAGACGCUCAACGUCUGCACUGCAGCGCGAACUGGUUUCCUUGAGUACGCACAAAGUGGGCGGAAUUCGUGGUGUAGCGGUGAAAUGCUUAGAUAUCACGAAGAACUCCGAUUGCGAAGGCAGCUCACUGGAGCGCAACUGACGCUGAAGCUCGAAAGUGCGGGUAUCGAACAGGAUUAGAUACCCUGGUAGUCCGCACGGUAAACGGUGGAUGCCCGCUGUUGGUCUGAAUAGGUCAGCGGCCAAGCGAAAGCAUUAAGCAUCCCACCUGGGGAGUACGCCGGCAACGGUGAAACUCAAAGG
rnacentral:rRNA from 1 species